rnacentral:rRNA from 1 species
CCUACGGGGAGCUGCAGUGGGGAAUAUUGGACAAUGGGCGAAAGCCUGAUCCAGCCAUGCCGCGUGUGUGAAGAAGGCCUUCGGGUUGUAAAGCACUUUCAGUGGGGAAGAAAGCCUUGGGGCUAAUACCCUCGAGGAAGGACAUCACCCACAGAAGAAGCACCGGCUAACUCCGUGCCAGCAGCCGCGGUAAUACGGAGGGUGCGAGCGUUAAUCGGAAUUACUGGGCGUAAAGCGCGCGUAGGCGGUCUGAUAAGCCGGUUGUGAAAGCCCCGGGCUCAACCUGGGAACGGCAUCCGGAACUGUCAGGCUAGAGUGCAGGAGAGGAAGGUAGAAUUCCCGGUGUAGCGGUGAAAUGCGUAGAGAUCGGGAGGAAUACCAGUGGCGAAGGCGGCCUUCUGGACUGACACUGACGCUGAGGUGCGAAAGCGUGGGUAGCAAACAGGAUUAAUACCCGAGUAGUC